rnacentral:rRNA from 1 species
GAUGAACGCUGGCGGCGUGCCUAAUACAUGCAAGUCGAGCGAACAGACGAGGAGCUUGCUCCUCUGACGUUAGCGGCGGACGGGUGAGUAACACGUGGAUAACCUACCUAUAAGACUGGGAUAACUUCGGGAAACCGGAGCUAAUACCGGAUAAUAUAUUGAACCGCAUGGUUCAAUAGUGAAAGACGGUUUUGCUGUCACUUAUAGAUGGAUCCGCGCCGCAUUAGCUGGUUGGUAAGGUAACGGCUUACCAAGGCAACGAUGCGUAGCCGGCCUGAGAGGGGGAGCGGCCACACUGGAACUGAGACGCGGUCCAGACUCCUACGGGAGGCAGCAGUAGGGAAUCUUGCGCAAUGGGCGAAAGCCUGACGGAGCAACGCCGCGGGAGUGAUGAAGGUCUUCGGAUCGUAAAACUCUGUUAUUAGGGAAGAACAAAUGUGUAAGUAACUAUGCACGUCUUGACGGUACCUAAUCAGAAAGCCACGGCUAACUACGUG